UACGGAGGGUGCAAGCGUUAUCCGGAUUCACUGGGUUUAAAGGGAGCGUAGGAGGGCAGGUAAGUCAGUGGUGAAAUCUUCGAGCUUAACUCGGAAACUGCCGUUGAUACUAUCUGUCUUGAAUACCGUGGAGAUGAGCGGAAUAUGUCAUGUAGCGGUGAAAUGCUUAGAUAUGACAUAGAACACCGAUUGCGAAGGCAGCUGACAAAACUGUAACUGACGCUGAGGCACGAAAGUGUGGGGAUCAAACAGG
rnacentral:rRNA from 1 species